rnacentral:misc_RNA from 1 species
AUUUCAAAGGAUGAUACAGUUAUUCUUGAUGGUGCCGGUGACAAGAAAGCUAUUGAGGAAAGGUGUGAACAGAUAAGGGCUGGUAUUGAAGCAAGCACUUCAGAUUAUGACAAGGAGAAGUUACAGGAGAGAUUAGCGAAACUCUCUGGGGGUGUUGCUGUUUUAAAGAUUGGAGGAGCAAGUGAGGCAGAAGUGGGCGAGAAGAAGGAUAGAGUCACCGAUGCCUUGAAUGCCACAAAAGCAGCUGUUGAAGAAGGAAUAGUACCAGGUGGUGGUGUUGCCCUCCUCUAUGCAUCCAAGGAGCUUGACAAACUGCAGACUGCCAACUUUGAUCAGAAGGU